UACAGAGGGGGCAAGCGUUGUUCGGAAUUACUGGGCGUAAAGGCUCGUAGGCGGCCAACUAAGUCAGACGUGAAAUCCCCAGGCUCAACCUGGGAACUGCGUCUGAUACUGGAUGGCUAGGGUGCGGAAGAGGGAAGCGGAAUUUCCGGUGUAGCGGUGAAAUGCGUAGAUAUCGGAAGGAACAUCAGUGGCGAAAGCGGCUUCCUGGUCCAGCACCGACGUCAGGCACGAAAGCGUGGGGAGCAAACAGG
rnacentral:rRNA from 1 species